GACGAACGCUGGCGGCGUGCUUAACACAUGCAAGUCGAACGGAAAGGCCCUGCUUUUGUGGGGUGCUCGAGUGGCGAACGGGUGAGUAACACGUGAGUAACCUGCCCUUGACUUUGGGAUAACUUCAGGAAACUGGGGCUAAUACCGGAUAGGAGCUCCUGCUGCAUGGUGGGGGUUGGAAAGUUUCGGCGGUUGGGGAUGGACUCGCGUCUUAUCAGCUUGUUGGUGGGGUAGUGGCUUACCAAGGCUUUGACGGGUAGCCGGCCUGAGAGGGUGACCGGCCACAUUGGGACUGAGAUACGGCCCAGACUCCUACGGGAGGCAGCAGUGGGGAAUAUUGCACAAUGGGCGGAAGCCUGAUGCAGCAACGCCGCGUGCGGGAUGACGGCCUUCGGGUUGUAAACCGCUUUCGCCUGUGACGAAGCGUGAGUGACGGUAAUGGGUAAAGAAGCACCGGCUAACUACGUG
rnacentral:rRNA from 1 species